rnacentral:rRNA from 1 species
GUGGUUGAAAUGAUAUGAAGAACUUGUUCAGAUUUGAUUUUCAACAUUGCAAUGAGUGGCGAACGGGUGAGUAACACGUGGGAAACCUACCUCUUAGCAGGGGAUAACAUUUGGAAACAAAUGCUAAUACCGUAUAAUAAUUAAAACCGCAUGGUUUUAGUUUAAAAGAUGGUCUUGCUAUCACUAAGAGAUGGUCCCGCGGUGUAUUAGUUAGUUGGUGAGGUAAUGGCUCACCAAGACAAUGAUACAUAGCCGAGUUGAGAGACUGACCGGCCACAAUGGGACUGAGACACGGCCCAUACUCCUACGGGAGGCAGCAGUAGGGAAUCUUCCACAAUGGACGAAAGUCUGAUGGAGCAACGCCGCGUGUGUGAUGAAGGGUUUCGGCUCGUAAAACACUGUUGUAAGAGAAGAAUGACAUUGAGAGUAACUGUUCAAUGUGUGACGGUAUCUUACCAGAAAGGAACGGCUAAAUACGUGCCAGCAGCCGCGGUAAUACGUAUGUUCCAAGCGUUAUCCGGAUUUAUCGGGCGUAAAGCGAGCGCAGACGGUUAUUUAAGUCUGAAGUGAAAGCCCUCGGCUCAACCGAGGAAUUGCUUUGGAAACUGGAUAACUUGAGUGCAGUAGAGGAAAGUGGAACUCCAUGUGUAGCGGUGAAAUGCGUA